GAUGAACGCUAGCUACAGGCUUAACACAUGCAAGUCGAGGGGCAGCAUGAACAUAGCUUGCUAUGUUUGAUGGCGACCGGCGCACGGGUGCGUAACACGUAUCCAAUCUGCCCGUUACUCGGGGAUAGCCUUCUGAAAGGAAGAUUAAUACCCGAUAGCAUUCAUUGGCGGCAUCGCUUAUGAAUUAAAGAUUUAUUGGUAACGGAUGAGGAUGCGUACGAUUAGCUAGUUGGCGGGGUAACGGCCCACCAAGGCUACGAUCGUUAGGGGUUCUGAGAGGAAGGUCCCCCACACUGGAACUGAGACACGGUCCAG
rnacentral:rRNA from 1 species